CCCCACGCUCCCAGGGCCCCGCCGCCCCCACUGCUUGGUUCCCAAGUCUUCAGCGCUCCCCCCACCGCCUCGUCUCUCGUGUUUACCUCUCCUCCCCGCCCCCCCCCCUCCCCUUUCCACGUUCCACCUCGGCCGCUUCCUCCCCCGGCCGGGGCUCUCCUCCUUCCGACCUCUGGUUUUCUGCUCCAAGAAGAAGGCGGGCCAGUUUCGCAACUCAGAAGGGGAAAAGAAACCGAUUACACACAGCUGCCACCCGUCGCCCUUGUCAAACAUCGGGUUCCCUCCCGCACAUGAUCUCAUUUAAUCCUCAAAUCAUCCUUGAACAGGUGCGUUAAACGGUAACAUGACGAACAGGAAUAUGUAUUGCCUGUCCUUCUGUCUUUUCGCGAUAGGGUGCUAACACAAUGAGCUGUGUUCUUCUUUUUACUCUGCCACGGCCCAUUCAUUCGCUAGGAUUGACAACCUGGUGUGCGUUGAUCUUAACCAUAAAUCAGUUUCUGACGGUGUCUUGGAUGUGCACGGGGCCUUGUAGACUCAAGCUAACGUUACUGCUUCUGUUGCACCCUUGUUGAAACGUCUGUGAAGAAGCACUAGCAGGUUAAGGAUCCCCAACUUUGGAAAAGGAACGUGAUGUGAAACUAGAAUUCUCUGUUAAAAAGGGGCCAAGGCCGACUGCCCCCAAGACGUGCCACUUUGGUCACGCAGAUUAUGCCGAGCUGAAAACAAUCCAGGCCCAGAAGACGCAGGGAGAAAUUUUGACCUUGCCCCCAAAACCGCCUCAAAGAAAUGAGAUUGGGGACGUGCUCCAGGAAGGGAGCCGUUGCCAUAUUUACCUACAUUAUAAUGUGAAGUAGGUGUGGUAGAGAGCGAGGAAUUCAGCAAGCUCUGGUUGAUCAAAAUCUUCCCUGUGUCCCAUUGUUUCUGGAUGACCCAGUCAAUAUUUACUUACCACGUUCGCUCUUUUUCAUUCUUCCUGUGAGCACCCCUUCCCUUUGUAGUUUCAGACUCCUUCCUCCUCCUUAGUUCAGGGUGACUUCGCACUGCCUGGCUGUCUUUGGAAUCUUACGUGUGUGUGUGGAUUCCCUGUGCCCCUGAAAUUAAAUUUGAUUUUCUCCUGUUAA